rnacentral:rRNA from 1 species
CCUACGGGAGGCUGCAGUUUUUACUAUUUUCCCCUUUUUUCCCCCCUGCUCCCGCGCCGCCGCGUGAGUGAAGAAGUAUUUCGGUACGUAAAGCUCUAUCAGCAGGAAAGAAAAUGACGGUACCUGACUAAGAAGCCCCGGCUAACUACGUGCCAGCAGCCGCGGUAAUACGUAGGGGGCAAGCGUUAUCCGGAUUUACUGGGUGUAAAGGGAGCGUAGACGGCAGCGCAAGUCUGGAGUGAAAUGCCGGGGCCCAACCCCGGAACUGCUCUGGAAACUGUGAAGCUGGAGUGCAGGAGAGGUAAGCGGAAUUCCUGGUGUAGCGGUGAAAUGCGUAGAUAUCAGGAGGAACACCGGCGGCGAAGGCGGCUUACUGGACUGUAACUGACGUUGAGGCUCGAAGGCGUGGGGAGCAAACAGGAUUAGAUACCCUGGUAGUC